rnacentral:rRNA from 1 species
GGAUUAGAUACCCUGGUAGUCCACGCCGUAAACGAUGGAUACUAGCUGUGCGGACCUCGGUCUGCGUGGCUAAGCGAAAGUGAUAAGUAUCCCACCUGGGGAGUACGUUCGCAAGAAUGAAACUCAAAGGAAUUGACGGGGGCCCGCACAAGCGGUGGAGCAUGUGGUUUAAUUCGAUGAUACGCGAGGAACCUUACCAGGGCUUAAAUGCAUAUUGACAGGGGUGGAAACACCCUUUCCUUCGGGCAAUUUGCAAGGUGCUGCAUGGUUGUCGUCAGCUCGUGCCG